AGUAACACGUAAGCAACCUGCCUAUCAGAGGGGAACAACAGUUAGAAAUGACUGCUAAUACCGCAAAUAUGCCUUAGUAUCGCAUGGUACAAAAGGGAAAGGAGCAAUCCGCUGAUAGAUGGGCUUGCGUCUGAUUAGCUAGUUGGUGGGGUAAAGGCCUACCAAGGCGACGAUCAGUAGCCGGACUGAGAGGUUGAACGGCCACAUUGGGACUGAGAUACGGCCCAGACUCCUACGGGAGGCAGCAG
rnacentral:rRNA from 1 species